CCCGCCCACCCCAAGCGGGAUGGCUGAGCGCCGCACGCGCAGCACGCCGGGACUAGCUAGCGAGCCUCCCAGCAGCCUCUGGGACGGGCGCGGUGCGUAAGUAGCUCGCCGGCGGUGGCCGUUCUCCGUAAGAUGGCGGACCGGCGGCGGCAGCGCGCUUCGCAAGACACCGAGGACGAGGAAUCUGGUGCUUCGGGCUCAGACAGCGGCGGCUCCCCGUUGCGGGGCGGCGGGAGCUGCAGCGGUAGCGCCGGAGGUGGCGGCAGCGGCUCUCUGCCUUCACAGCGCGGAGGCCGAAUCGGGGCCCUUCAUUUGCGGCGGGUGGAGAGCGGGGGCGCCAAGAGCGCUGAGGAGUCGGAGUGUGAGAGUGAAGAUGGCAUUGAAGGUGAUGCUGUUCUCUCGGAUUAUGAAAGUGCAGAAGACUCAGAAGGUGAAGAAGGAGAAUACAGUGAAGAGGAAAACUCCAAAGUGGAGCUGAAAUCAGAAGCUAAUGAUGCUGUUAAUUCUUCAACAAAAGAAGAGAAGGGAGAAGAAAAGCCUGACACCAAAGGCACUGUGACUGGAGAGAGGCAAAGUGGGGACGGACAGGAGAGCACAGAGCCUGUGGAGAACAAAGUGGGUAAAAAGGGCCCUAAGCAUUUGGAUGAUGAUGAAGAUCGGAAGAAUCCAGCAUACAUACCUCGGAAAGGGCUCUUCUUUGAGCAUGAUCUUCGAGGGCAAACUCAGGAGGAGGAAGUCAGACCCAAGGGGCGUCAGCGAAAGCUAUGGAAGGAUGAGGGUCGCUGGGAGCAUGACAAGUUCCGGGAAGAUGAGCAGGCCCCAAAGUCCCGACAGGAGCUCAUUGCUCUUUAUGGUUAUGACAUUCGCUCAGCUCACAAUCCUGAUGACAUCAAACCCCGAAGAAUCCGGAAACCCCGAUAUGGGAGUCCUCCACAAAGAGAUCCAAAUUGGAAUGGUGAGCGGCUAAACAAGUCUCAUCGCCACCAGGGUCUUGGGGGUACCCUACCACCAAGGACAUUUAUUAACAGAAAUGCUGCAGGUACUGGCCGCAUGUCUGCACCCAGGAAUUAUUCUCGAUCUGGGGGCUUCAAGGAAGGUCGUGCUGGUUUUAGGCCUAUGGAAGCUGGGGGGCAGCACGGUGGCCGGUCUGGCGAGACUGUUAAGCAUGAGACUAGUUACCGGUCACGGCGCCUAGAGCAGACUCCUGUGAGGGAUCCAUCUCCAGAAGCAGCAGAUGUUCCAGUGCUUGGCAGUCCUGAGAAGGAAGAGGCAACCUCAGAGACACCAGCUGCUGCUCCUGAUACUGCACCACCAGCCCCUGACAGGCCCAUUGAGAAGAAAUCCUAUUCCCGGGCAAGAAGAACCCGAACCAAAGUUGGAGAUGCAGUCAAGCUUGCAGAGGAGGUGCCCCCUCCUCCUGAAGGACUGAUCCCAGCACCUCCAGUCCCAGAAACCACCCCAACUCCACCUACUAAGACUGGGAACUGGGACGCUCCAGUGGAUUCUACUACAGGUGGACUUGAGCAAGAUGUGGCACAACUAAAUAUAGCAGAACAGAAUUGGAGUCCGGGGCAGCCUUCUUUCCUGCAACCACGGGAACUUCGAGGUAUGCCCAACCAUAUUCACAUGGGAGCAGGACCUCCACCUCAGUUUAACCGGAUGGAAGAAAUGGGCGUCCAGGGUGGUCGAGCCAAACGCUAUUCAUCCCAGCGGCAAAGACCUGUGCCAGAGCCCCCCGCCCCUCCAGUGCAUAUCAGUAUCAUGGAGGGACAUUACUAUGAUCCACUGCAGUUCCAGGGACCAAUCUAUACCCAUGGUGACAGCCCUGCCCCGCUGCCUCCACAGGGCAUGCUUGUGCAGCCAGAAAUGCACCUUCCCCACCCAGGUAAGUUUAGUGUCUCUGCUUGUAUGCUUCCAGUACCUGAGGAUAUAUGUUGGGAGCACCACAAACCCUAUCCUCCUGAGUUCUGUGCUGCUAGCCUGGGAGUCUGGCCAUCCUGGCUGCGUUGGCAACAAAUUCCUCUUGUAUCCAUCCUGAGGACUUCCAUCCUGAGCCUGAUUAUACUGAGCAGUCCAGCCAGGCCAUCCUAUGAAAAUGAUGUUACUUUAUUUUUCAGUUUUUUUCUUCUCCUUAUCCAGGUUUACAUCCCCACCAGACACCAGCUCCUCUGCCCAAUCCAGGCCUCUAUCCCCCACCAGUGUCCAUGUCUCCAGGACAGCCACCACCUCAGCAGUUGCUUGCUCCUACUUACUUUUCUGCUCCAGGCGUCAUGAACUUUGGUAAUCCCAGUUACCCUUAUGCUCCAGGGGCACUGCCUCCCCCACCGCCGCCUCAUCUGUAUCCUAAUACACAGGCCCCAUCACAGGUAUAUGGAGGAGUGACCUACUAUAACCCCGCCCAGCAGCAGGUGCAACCAAAGCCCUCCCCACCACGGAGGACUCCCCAGCCAGUCACCAUCAAGCCCCCUCCACCUGAGGUUGUAAGCAGGGGUUCCAGUUAAUAUGAGUUUCUGAAUAUUUUAAAUCUUAACAUCAUAUAAAAAACGGCAGAGGUGAGAACUCAGGAGAGAAGAGAAAUACAGCUGGCUAUCUACUACCAGAAGGGCUUCAAAGAUAUAGGUUAUGGCUUCUACCAGCAAACAGCUGAAAGAGGAGGACCCCUGCCUUCCUCUAAGGACAGGCUCUGGAGAGAGGGAGAAACAAGUGGACCUCGUCCCAUCUUCACUCUUCACUUGAGUUGGCUGUGUUCGGGGGAGCAGAGUCAGACAGCCCCAAGCUUCUGAGUCUAGAUCCAGAAGCCCAUGUCUUCUGCUGUUCUUCACUUUCUUCUGGGAAAUUGAAGUGUCUUCUGUUCUCAAGGAAGCUCCUUCCUGUUUGUUUUGUUUUCUAAGAUGUUCAUUUUUAAAGCCUGGCUUCUUAUCCUUAAUAUUAUUUUAGUUUUUUCUCCUUGUCUCUGUUUCUUGCUCUCCCUGCCUUUAAAUGAAACAAGUCCAUUCUUCUGGUUUGCUAGCCCCUCUGGAUUCCCUUUUGACUCUUCCCUGUAUCCCAGAUAAUGGCGAAUGUAUCAGCCAGCCUUCCUCACCAAGGCUAAAAAGACCUGGCCUUUCACUUUUAGUUGGCGUUUGUUAUCCUCUUGUAUACUUGUAUUCCCUUAACUCUAACCCUGUGGAAGCAUGGCUGUCUGCACAGAGGGUCCUAUUGUGCGGAAAAGCUCAGAGUAGGUGGGUAGGAGUCCUUCUCUUUGACUUAGGUUUUUAGGAGUCUGAGCAUCCAUCAGUACCUGUACUAUGGUGGACUUCUGUUCUCUGCUGAGGGCAAAUACCCUACUGUGGGGAGAGAUGGCAAACCAGAUGCUUUUGUGAGAAAGGGAUGGUGGAGUGAGAGCCUUUGCCCUUAGGGGUGUGUAUUCACAUAGUCCUCAGGGCGCAGUCUUUUGAGGUAAGUGGAAUUAGAGGGCCUUGCUUCUCUUCUUUCCAUUCUUCUUGCUACACUCCCUUUCCAGUUGCUGUGGACCAGUGCAUCUCUUUAAAGGCAAAUAUCAUCCAGCAAGCAGUCUACCCCAUCCUUUGCAAUUGCUCUUCUCCACGUCUUCUCUGCUACAAGUGUUUUAGAUGUUACUACCUUAUUUUCCCCGAAUUGUACUUUUGUCCUUGCAAACAGAAGAUACUACACCUGGGCUUAAGGCCUAAGGAAGCCAGUCACCUUCUGGGCAAGGGCUCCUAUCUUUCCUCGCUAUCCAUGGCACUAAACCACUUCUCUGCUGCCUCUGCGGAAGAGAUUCCUAUUACUGCAGUACUUCUGUCCGCCAGGGGUAACUUGGCCACUGUCCCUGUCCUUCUACAGAACCUGAGGGCGAAGAUGGUGGCUGUGUCUCUCCCCGGUAAUGUCACUGUCUGUUUUUAUUCCUUCCCUCUAGCAGCUGGCCUAACCACUCGAGUCACAGGUGUGGCGUGGAGAGAGGGGAGGGGCAUUUAAUCUGUAACCCCCAAGGAGGAAAUAACUAAGAUUCUUCCAGGGGUAGCUGGUGGUUGUGCCUUUUGUAGGCUGUUCCCUUUGCCUUAAACCUGAAGAUGUCUCCUCAAGCCUGUGGGCAGCAUGCCCAGAUUCCCAGACCUUAAGACACUGUGAGAGUUGUCUCUGUUGGUCCACUGUGUUUAGUUGCAAGGAUUUUUCCAUGUGUGGUGGUGUUUUUUGUUACUGUUUUAAAGGGUGCCCAUUUGUGAUCAGCAUUGUGACUUGGAGGUAAUAAAAUUUAGACUGUAAACUUGG